GGGGUCGUAGUUCAUUUGGCUAGAACGUCGCAUUUGCAAUGCGAAGGUGGCGGGUUCGAAUCCCGCCGACUCCA
rnacentral:tRNA from 1 species